GCUGGGUAUGAUGGCACAGGCAUGUAGUCUCAGCUACUCUGGAGGCAGAGGCAGGAGUAUGGCUUGAGCCCCAGGAGUUCUUGGCUGUAGUGCCCUAUGCUGAUUGUAUGUCUGCACUAAGUUGGGAAUCAAUAUGGUGACCUGCCAACUAGUGGAGGACCACCAGAUGGCCUGAGGAGGAGGAAUCUGAGCAGUGCUGAUCAGUAGUGGGAUUGUGCCUGUGAAUGGCUACUGCACUUCAGCCUGGGCAACGUAGUGAGACCCCCAUCUU
rnacentral:SRP_RNA from 1 species